rnacentral:rRNA from 1 species
GACGAACGCUGGCGGCGUGCCUAACACAUGCAAGUCGAACGGAAAGGCCCUGCUUUUGUGGGGUGCUCGAGUGGCGAACGGGUGAGUAACACGCGAGUAACCUUCCCUUGACUUUGGGAUAAUUUCAGGAAACUGUAGUUAAUACCGGAUAGGAGCUCCUGCUGCAUUGUGGGGGUUGGAAACUUUCGGCGGUUGGGGAUGGACUCGCGGCUUAUGAGCUUGUUGGUGGGGUAGUGGCUUACCAAGGCUUUGACGGGUAGCCGGCCUGAGAGGGUGACCGGCCAACGUAGGAGAGAGCUACGGCACAGAGUAGUGCGGGAGACAGCAGUGGGGAAUAUUGCACGAUGGACGGAAGCCGGAUGCAGCAAGGCGGCGUGCGGGAUGAUGGCCUUCUGGUGUAAAACCGCUUUCGCAGGUGAGGAAGCGUGGGUGACGGUAAUAGAUAAAGAAGCACCGGCUAACUACGUG